UCAAAACAGCGGACUUCGGUCCUUGCUGCACCCUUGUCUUUUGCGUACCGUAUGUUUCCUCGGCGGGCUUGCCUGCCGGUUGGACAUUAUCAAACCUUUUUGUAGUUGCAAUCAGCGUCAGAAAAUAAUAAUAAUUA
rnacentral:misc_RNA from 2 species